AUUGAACGCUGGCGGCAUGCUUUACACAUGCAAGUCGAACGGCAGCGCGGGGCAACCUGGCGGCGAGUGGCACACGGGUGAGUAAUAUAUCGGAACGUACCCAGAAGUGGGGGAUAACGUAGCGAAAGUUACGCUAAUACCGCAUACGAUCUACGGAUGAAAGUAGGGGACCGCAAGGCCUUAUGCUUUUGGAGCGGCCGAUAUCUGAUUAGCUAGUUGGUGAGGUAAAGGCUCACCAAGGCGACGAUCAGUAGCUGGUCUGAGAGGACGACCAGCCACACUGGAACUGAGACACGGUCCAGACUCCUACGGGAGGCAGCAGUGGGGAAUUUUGGACAAUGGGCGCAAGCCUGAUCCAGCAAUGCCGCGUGAGUGAAGAAGGCCUUCGGGUUGUAAAGCUCUUUUGUCAGGGAAGAAACGGUAGAGGCUAAUAUCCUUUGCUAAUGACGGUACCUGAAGAAUAAGCACCGGCUAACUACGUG
rnacentral:rRNA from 1 species